GAUCCUGGCUCAGGAUGAACGCUAGCGGCAGGCUUAACACAUGCAAGUCGAGGGGCAGCAUAAUGGUAGUAAUACUAUUGAUGGCGACCGGCGGACGGGUGCGUAACGCGUAUGCAACCUACCCUUUGCAGGGGGAUAACACUGAGAAAUCGGUACUAAUACCCCAUAAUAUUCUGGGAGGCAUCUUUCGGAGUUGAAAGCUUUGGUGGUAAAGGAUGGGCAUGCGUUGUAUUAGCUAGUUGG
rnacentral:rRNA from 1 species